rnacentral:rRNA from 1 species
AACGAACGCUGGCGGCAUGCCUAACACAUGCAAGUCGAACGAUUGCCUUCGGGAGAUAGUGGAGCACGGGUGCGUAACGCGUGGGAAUCUGCCCUUAGGUUCGGAAUAACAGCUGGAAACGGCUGCUAAUACCGGAUGAUAUCGCGAGAUCAAAGAUUUAUCGCCUGAGGAUGAGCCCGCGUUGGAUUAGGUAGUUGGUGGGGUAAAGGCCUACCAAGCCGACGAUCCAUAGCUGGUCUGAGAGGAUGAUCAGCCACACUGGGACUGAGACACGGCCCAGACUCCUACGGGAGGCAGCAGUGGGGAAUAUUGGACAAUGGGCGCAAGCCUGAUCCAGCAAUGCCGUGUGAGUGAUGAAGGCCCUAGGGUUGUAAAGCUCUUUUACCCGGGAAGAUAAUGACUGUACCGGGAGAAUAAGCCCCGGCUAACUCCGUG